CCUUACCUGGUCUUGACAUCCACAGAACUUGGCAGAGAUGCCUUGGUGCCUUCGGGAACCGUGAGACAGGUGCUGCAUGGCUGUCGUCAGCUCGUGUUGUGAAAUGUUGGGUUAAGUCCCGCAACGAGCGCAACCCUUAUCCUUUGUUGCCAGCGGUCCGGCCGGGAACUCAAAGGAGACUGCCAGUGAUAAACUGGAGGAAGGUGGGGAUGACGUCAAGUCAUCAUGGCCCUUACGACCAGGGCUACACACGUGCUACAAUGGCAUAUACAAAGAGAAGCGACCUCGCGAGAGCAAGCGGACCUCAUAAAGUAUGUCGUAGUCCGGAUUGGAGUCUGCAACUCGACUCCAUGAAGUCGGAAUCGCUAGUAAUCG
rnacentral:rRNA from 1 species